rnacentral:rRNA from 1 species
GUGUAAGUUGUUGAGAGCGUAUGGUGGAUGCCUUGGCAUCAGGAGCCGAUGAAGGACGUGGGAAUCUGCGAUAAGCCUGGGGGAGUUGAUAACCGGACGGUGAUCCCAGGAUGUCCGAAUGGGGGAACCCCGCAUGCUGUGAGGUGUGUGACCUGACACUGAAUAUAUAGGUGUUAUGGAGGGAACGAGGGGAAGUGAAACAUCUCAGUACCCUCAGGAAGAGAAAACAAUAGUGAUUCCGUUAGUAGUGGCGAGCGAACGCGGAUGGGGCUAAACCUGUAUCGUGUGAUACCCGGCAGGGGUUGCGGUGCGGGGGUUGUGGGUGUAUGUGUCCAGUUGCUGCCGUGGCUGGCUGGUGAGGUGCGGGCGUGGAGACGAAGCAGUGUGAGUGCUGCACCGUAGAGGGUGUGAGUCCCGUAGUCGUAUUAUGUUCCGCCGCUAGAUCGUAUGACCCGAGUAGCACGGGGCUCGUGGAAUCUCGUGUGAAUCUGCCAGGACCACCUGGUAAGCCUGAAUACUACCUGAUGACCGAUAGCGGAUCAGUACCGUGAGGGAAUGGUGAAAAGUACCCCGGGAGGGGAGUGAAAUAGUGCCUGAAACCAUGCGCUUACAAACCGUCAAAGCCCCUUUUUGGGGUGAUGGCGUGCCUUUUGAAGAAUGAGCCUGCGAGUUAGUGCUGUGUCGCGAGGUUAACCCGUGUGGGGUAGUCGUAGCGAAAGCGAGUCUGAAUAGGGCGUUUUAGUGGCACGGUCUAGACCCGAAGCGGGGUGAUCUACCCAUGGCCAGGUUGAAGCGUGUGUAAGAGCACGUGGAGGACCGAA